GUUUAUUUAAGUUUUAAGAAUGGACAGAGAUAGAUUCUACUUCUUCUUCUACUUAUAAACAGAUAAAUUGAAUUGGGUGACUUGUCGAUUAACUAGACGAAACCUGGGAACGAAACAUAGAAAUGAAAGUCUAGAGAAGGUCAACGACAACGCAACGAAAGUUCGAAAUGUCGGAAGUGUUUUGUUUUCAUGGAUUACGUACAUUUAUGUACCUUAAAAAGGCAACGAAAGCAUUUUCUAUGGAAGUACAUGUACUCCAAGAAGAAGAAGAAGCUAAGCAACAGAAUGCAAUUUUCUGAGGCAUUGAUUUACAUGUAUGUGCAUAUAAAGAGCAGCCGGCAAUUAUUUCAUGACGAGAGCUUGUUACCAAAUGAAAGGAAAGUGCAGUAUUAAAAUCACUGAGGUACAUGUUACAACGUACAUGUAGGUGCAAAUCUAGAUGUCCUGUAGAAAAAACCUGGUAUCAAAGAACUGAAAAGUAAAGAAACAGAACCAAAGAACAUUCAUUUUAAAUUAAUACAAUAUUGAACUCAAAAGUCAAUCUAGUUGUCUUUCUUAAUUAUAGAUAUAAGAAGAUGUGGUAUUAGUGCCAAUGAAACAACUCUCCAUCCAGGUCAUAAUUUGUAAAAGUAAACCAUUACAGGUCAAAGUACGGUUUUCAAAACAGAGUUCACAUGAAACAGCAAGCCCUAAAGGGCCACAAAAGUGGCUGCAUACACUAGCACCUGUAAUAGCUACAUGUAGCAGUGUAGACAAUUACAUAUCAAUGUGUAUGGUGAUAUAUAUAGCAAUAGAAAUAUCACAUCCAUCAGAGGGAAAUAGAAUAUAGACAAAAGAAAUACCUCAUACAUCAGAUUAGAAUAGAUUAUCAACAAUAGAAAUGGUAUAUGUCACAGAGACAAACAUAUGAAAAUAGAAUAUAGACACUUAAAAUUUGGUAUGUCAUAGAGAUGAAAAUAGAAUAUAGACAAUAGAAUUAGGGUAUGUCAAAGAGGCAAACAUAGAAUGGGGUAUGUCAAAGACACAAAACUAUGAAAAUAGAAUAUAGACAAUAGAAAUGGGAUAUGUCAAAGAGAUAAACAUAUGAAAAUAGAACAUAGACAAUAGAAAUGGGGUAUGACUAAGAGACAAAAAUAUGAAAAUAGGACAUAGACAAUAAAAAUGGGGUAUGCCUAAGAGACAAAAAUAUGAAAAUAGAGGCAUAACAACUUAAUAAAAAAAAGUUUUACUAGAUAUAGAAUACAAAUUAUGGAGCACUGACUGAUAAUUAUUUUUCUGCAUAAAGGAAUGCUAAUGUAUACAGUUGCUUUUUAUUUGUUAGAGCUUUUGAUUUUGCCAUGUAUUUCCUGUGGAAUCAAGUAUUUGGGGUUAUUAAAAUCGUCAUAUUGAAGUAUUUACACUCAAAAUGAGUUCCAGACAGAAGAAAAAAGAUGAUGAAGAAGAAAAACAUCAACAACAUUCAUACCAUUAAAAACAAACCAAACAAAAAUACAUAUACAGUACAUGAAAAAAUAAAUGCAUUUUAAAAAUUAAAAAAAAAAACAUAAAAAAAAUAUAUAUUUAGGACCAAUAUAAAAACAUAUGAAAACAUAUGUUUGGGCCGAACAUAUGAAAACAUAUGUUUAGGCCAAACAUAUGAAAACAUAU